rnacentral:lncRNA from 1 species
GUACUCGCCAGGCUGGCCUGUGUGGCCGCCACCACGGGCACAGGGCGGUGCGGCCGGGCCACGGGAAGGGUGCGGGGCUCGCCCCGUCUCCGCAGGGGUGGACGAAAAACCAAGCAGCAACAGCCCUUGGAAAGAGGCUAAAUUUUUCUUGACUUCUGCAGCAACAAAGACCGUGAAAAGUUGGCACUUCUGGCCUAACGCUGCCGUCAUCCUACCCCUCACCCCAGGGCAACCCAGGCUGGACAUUUAGUGCCUCCCUCUUUAUUCCUCUGUGAUCAUCCAGAUCAGCACUUGACUGUUUAUUUUCAAAUCUCACGAACCUCACCCCAAGAUCUUCACAUUCUGGAUCUCAGCUGCUCUUGAAGGACAGUGACUUGUUACCACCGCAACAGCAGAGCCUGCCAU